ACACAUCUACGAUAUGUAAAACGUGCGUCCAAAACCAAUUCAUCGUUUAAAGACUAUUUUUAAACAAGCAUAUGAUAAUAAAAAACGCACAGACGACUUUCAUUCUUUAUUAAUGUUUAUGUGCAGUGGACGUCCUGGAUAAUAUGCGACAAGGAAACCGGAAACGUCGCGAGCGCCACUCCGCUCAGAGGACGCCUGCUUGCUGAAUGCAAUUGAUGGAUAUACUUGACGAUAUGAGAGCGGGAAAACAUUAGCGCAUGAAGUACCGAUCCUCCUGGAAAAAUCUGCAUUUUAAUCACCGAAUGGCUUACGCAAAACGGACAACUUACCAAGAAAUGCAUCAUUUGCUAGCAAGCGCUAAUGCCACCACUGACGUGAAUAGGCGUUUUUCAUCAGUAAUAGUUAUCGUAUAAAUGUAGUAUCCCUUAUCGGGCAAUAUAGUUCAAUCAGGCAAACCGUAAUUUUAGUUUUCCCCGUGACUCACGUUUAAAUUAUAUAACGAUAUUUUAAAUAGCUGUUAGGAUUGCUUCUAUAAUUUCGGCACAAAUUACGCUAAGAUCAAUGUGCACUACCAUGAAAUCAUACACAAAUAUAAUGACUUUUUAGACGAGUAAAAAAUGGUUUCAUAGAAAAUAUAGUUGCUGCUCCAAUUGUUUAAAUCUAUGUAAUGGUGAUCAGCCCUUGUAUAAUAACAAGGUUAUUUUACAUCCGUUUCUUUGUAUUUAGCGUCCUUAUAUAUCACAAUAUAGCGGUUAAUAAAUAUUCAAAGUUCAAGUAAAAA